GACGAACGCUGGCGGCGUGCUUAACACAUGCAAGUCGAACGGAAAGGCCCUGCUUUUGUGGGGUGCUCGAGUGGCGACCGGGUGAGUAACACGUGAGUAACCUGCCCUUGACUUUGGGAUAACUUCAGGAAACUGGGGCUAAUACCGGAUAGGAGCUCCUGCUGCAUGGUGGGGGUUGGAAGGUUUCGGCAGUUGGGGAUGGACUCGCGGCUUAUCAGCUUGUUGGUGGGGUAGUGGCUUACCAAGGCUUUGACGGUGAGCCGGCCUGAGAGGGUGACCGGCGACAUUGGGAAUGAGAUACGUACCAGACUCCUACGGGAGGCAGCAGUGGGGAAUAUUGCACAAUGGGCGGAAGCCUGAUGCAGCAACGCCGCGUGCGGGAUGACGGCCUUCGGGUUGUAAACCGCUUUCGCCUGUGACGAAGCGUGAGUGACGGUAAUGGGUAAAGAAGCACCGGCUAACUACGUGCCAGCCGCCGCGGUAA
rnacentral:rRNA from 1 species